AUGGGUAGCCCGUCGCCGCCCGGCGCCUCGCACGGCCUGUUCGGGUCGAGCGGCGUCGGCGGGUUCGGCUACGGCCUCGCCGUCUCCGUCGGCAUCCUGCUCGUCGUCUCCACCGUCGCCUUCGCUGUCUACCUCUGCUGCGCCCGCGCCUCGUCCACGCCGGUGGCUGACGCCCGCGGGGUUCCGGCGCCGGCGCCGCCCCGCCACGACGUCGAGCUCGGCGGCAUCGACGCGGCGACGCUGGAGGCGUACCCGGCGGUGGUCUACAGGGAGGCGAGGAAGCCGGCGUCAGUGGAGCAGCAGGAGGCGUGCUGCGCCGUGUGCCUGGAGAGGUACGCGGACAGCGACAUGGUCCGGGUGCUGCCGGACUGCGGUCACCUGUUCCGCCGCGGGUGCGUCGACCCCUGGCUCCGGCAGCGGCCCACGUGCCCGGUGUGCCGGACCUCGCCUCUGCCCAGCCCCGUGCCCACGCCUCUCGCCGAGGUGACGCCGCUGGCGCUGGCGAGGUAA
rnacentral:rRNA from 1 species